GACGAACGCUGGCGGCGUGCUUAACACAUGCAAGUCGAACGGAGAUUAUUAAUGAAGCUUGCGAUUUAAUAAUCUUAGUGGCGGACGGGUGAGUAACGCGUGGGCAACCUACCCAUAAGCGGGGGAUAACAGUUGGAAACGACUGCUAAUACCGCAUAAGCUAUUGAGGUCGCAUGACCUAAAUAGUAAAGGUGGCGAAAGCUAUCACUUAUGGAUGGGCCCGCGUCUGAUUAGCUAGUUGGUGGGAUAGCAGCCUACCAAGGCAACGAUCAGUAGCCGGCCUGAGAGGGUGGACGGCCACACUGGGACUGAGACACGGCCCAGACUCCUACGGGAGGCAGCAGUGGGGAAUAUUGCACAAUGGAGGGAACGUCUGAUGCAGCGACGCCGCGUGAGUGAAGAAGGUCUUCGGAUCGUAAACUACUGUCAGAUGGGAAGAAAUAGGUGGGGGCGUAAUAUCGCCCAUCCUUGACGGUACCAUCAGAGG
rnacentral:rRNA from 1 species